AGUGAACGCUGGCGGUAGGCCUAACACAUGCAAGUCGAACGGCAGCACAGUAAGAGCUUGCUCUUACGGGUGGCGAGUGGCGGACGGGUGAGGAAUACAUCGGAAUCUACUUUUUCGUGGGGGAUAACGUAGGGAAACUUACGCUAAUACCGCAUACGACCUACGGGUGAAAGCAGGGGAUCUUCGGACCUUGCGCGAUUGAAUGAGCCGAUGUCGGAUUAGCUAGUUGGCGGGGUAAAGGCCCACCAAGGCGACGAUCCGUAGCUGGUCUGAGAGGAUGAUCAGCCACACUGGAACUGAGACACGGUCCAGACUCCUACGGGAGGCAGCAGUGGGGAAUAUUGGACAAUGGGCGCAAGCCUGAUCCAGCCAACCGCGUGGGUGAAGAAGGCCUUCGGGUUGUAAAGCCCUUUUGUUGGGAAAGAAAAGCAGCAGGUUAAUACCCCGCUGUUCUGACGGUACCCAAAGAAUAAGCACCGGCUAACUUCGUG
rnacentral:rRNA from 1 species